rnacentral:rRNA from 1 species
UGCGUAGGCGGAAUAUUAAGUCAGUGGUGAAAUCCUGCGGCUCAACCGUAGAACUGCCAUUGAUACUGAUAUUCUUGAAUGUAGUUGAGGUAGGCGGAAUGUGUAAUGUAGCGGUGAAAUGCUUAGAUAUUACACAGAACACCGAUUGCGAAGGCAGCUUACUAAACUAUGAUUGACGCUGAGGCACGAAAGCGUAGGGAGCGAACAGGAUUAGAUACCCUGGUAGUC